rnacentral:rRNA from 1 species
GACGAACGCUGGCGGCGUGCUUAACACAUGCAAGUCGAACGGAAAGGCCCUGCUUGCAGGGUACUCGAGUGGCGAACGGGUGAGUAACACGUGGGUGAUCUGCCCUGCACUUCGGGAUAAGCCUGGGAAACUGGGUCUAAUACCGGAUAGGAGCCAUUUUUAGUGUGAUGGGUGGAAAGUUUUUUCGGUGUAGGAUGAGCUCGCGGCCUAUCAGCUUGUUGGUGGGGUAAUGGCCUACCAAGGCGGCGACGGGUAGCCGGCCUGAGAGGGUGGACGGCCACAGUGGGACUGAGAUACGGCCCAGACUCCUACGGGAGGCAGCAGGGGGGAAUAUUGCACAAGGGGCGCAAGCCUGAUGCAGCGACGCCGCGUGGGGGAUGACGGCCUUCGGGUUGUAAACUCCUUUCGCUAGGGACGAAGCUUUUUGUGACGGUACCUAGAUAAGAAGCACCGGCUAACUACGUG